CAGUACCGCGGUAAUACGUAGGUGGCAGGCGUUGUCCGGAAUUAUUGGGCGUAAAGGGCUCGCAGGCGGUUUCUUAAGUCUGAUGUGAAAGCCCCCGGCUCAACCGGGGAGGGUCAUUGGAAACUGGGAAACUUGAGUGCAGAAGAGGAGAGUGGAAUUCCACGUGUAGCGGUGAAAUGCGUAGAGAUGUGGAGGAACACCAGUGGCGAAGGCGACUCUCUGGUCUGUAACUGACGCUGAGGAGCGAAAGCGUGGGGGGCGAACAGGAUUAGAUACCCCCGUAGUCCCUGUCUCUUAUACA
rnacentral:rRNA from 1 species